rnacentral:rRNA from 1 species
GAUCAUGGCUCAGGAUGAACGCUAGCGACAGGCUUAACACAUGCAAGUCGAGGGGCAGCAUAAAAGUAGCAAUACUUGGUGGCGACCGGCGCACGGGUGAGUAACGCGUAUGCGAACCUACCUAUCAGAGGGGAAUAACCCGGCGAAAGUCGGACUAAUACCGCAUAAAACAGGGGCACCGCAUGGUGAUAUUUGUUAAAGAGAUUCGCUGAUAGAUGGGCAUGCGUUCCAUUAGGUAGUUGGUGAGGUAACGGCUCACCAAGCCGACGAUGGAUAGGGGAACUGAGAGGUUGGUCCCCCACACUGGUACUGAGACACGGACCAGACUCCUACGGGAGGCAGCAGUGAGGAAUAUUGGUCAAUGGGCGGGAGCCUGAACCAGCCAAGUCGCCGUGAAGGAAGAAGGAUCUAUGGUUCGUAAACUUCUUUUGCAGGGGAAUAAAGUGCAGGACGUGUCCUGUUUUGUAUGUACCCUGAGAAUAAGGAUCGGCUAACUCCGUGCCAGCAGCCGC